GACGUAGGGGGCCAGCGUUGCUCGGAAUUACUGGGCGUAAAGGGUCCGUAGGCGGUGCGGCAAGUCGGGAGUGAAAUCUCUGGGCUUAACCCAGAGUCUGCUUCCGAAACUGCCGUGCUGGAGUGCGGGAGAGGCGAGUGGAAUUGCAGGUGUAGCGGUGAAAUGCGUAGAUAUCUGCAGGAACACCAGAGGCGAAAGCGGCUCGCUGGACCGCAACUGACGCUGAGGGACGAAAGCUAGGGGAGCAAACAGGAUUAGAAA
rnacentral:rRNA from 1 species